AGUGUAGACUUUAAAAUCAUUGACUUUUGGGUCAAUCCAAUGACGAAUGACUACAAGGGGAACAUGAUUGAUGAUCCAAUAAUCUUGUUCAUUUUCCAGAACAACGCUCUCAACAAAUUCAGUUGGCAUAUUAAGAAAGUCAAGAACUUUAAGGUUAACCAAGGCUUUGAUGCCCGAGGGUACCUUCUUGAGAUGAGUGAUUUUGAUUAUUGCAAAAGAUUCAAGACAAGGCAAGGAGUAUCUAUCUAUAAGGAUAAAUUCUACUCUAUUCAAGCGAGAGAGAGCUCCAGUCCACUUUGAAAAUGCAAAAUUUCACCAUCAUAGGCAUUGUCCCACAAACUAAGUUUCAACAAAUGUGGCAACUUAUCUAGCCAUCUUAACGGAUCAUCUUUCAAAUUGGAUAAAGCCAACAUUAAGUAAAUAAGACAGUCAAGUUUUGAAAUCCAAUUAGGCAUCUUCUCCAAUCUUGCUUUCAAUUUAAGUCGUCGAAGUUGGGAUAUGGAUGAUAUAGAGUUCAAGCCAAUGAUUUCAUCCUCAUUUAUUGCAGUGAUAUCAAGUGAUUCCAGAUUAGGUCUAUUCCCCAUGAUCUACCUCCACGACCGCAGUUACGGGGGUGAGGGAGUGUAAGGUGAAGUCAGUGAAGCCGGGAAAAGCUGAUGAUGGAGGUGGAUCUGGUGCUCGGCAUUAGUUAGGUCGAUUUUGUUUUUCCGGUUCGGAUAUGGAUUCAGAGGAUUUUUGAUCCAUUAUGGAGAGCGCAGGCGUCCACAUUUGGGCCUUCAUGGAUGCCACCAUCGCGGUAGCCUCUGUCAACCAUGCCGCUGACUUGAAGCGCUGGAGAGAUAGAAUCAUUGAGUGCCUUUAGGCUGCCAGUUCACCGCCGCCGCAAUGUCGGAACUGCGAUGUCGGCAAUGGCGGACAAAUCAGGACGCAGAGCAGUUCCUCUGCGGAGGAGGAAAAGGAUCCUUAUGGAGGCUUGUUCGAAGACGAGCAGAGGAAGAUUCUAGACAUUAAAGAGAAACUCGAAGACCCUCACCAAAUCUUAUUUCUCUUAAUUUCACAAUUUAUGAGUUUUUUGUUCGCUUAAUCGUGUUUUUGAUUUUGUGUUUUUUUUUCUUUUUUAUUAUCAUUUAUCAGUCUGAAGAUUGGUUUGUGGAGUUUUUGAAUUAUCAAAGAGACAAAGAAAAAGAAAUUUUAACCCGGAUAGAUUUGCUUCAGCCAGAAAACGGCUUCAGGAGAACUACAAAGAUGUUGUAAAUGUCCAAGAAGCACAUUAAUACAAGACAUGCAAAGUGGUGUUGUUACUUCUCUCUACUAACUUUGUUGCAUCUUAAGGAUAGUCAAGAAAGUGUUAUGUCAGAAGAUAAUUAUAGCAGUUCAAAUUUGGCUUUAAGACUACUUGCCAGGCAAAUAGAAUUCAAGAUGAGUUGGAACCCACACAUGGAGGUCCGUUACAAUAACAUUAGCUAUCCCUACAGUGCAGCAUGAAGCUUUAUUGAAUAUGUUGAAGAUCUUACAUACGAACAUGUUAACUUCAUUUUUUUCUAGUGCCUCACAUGCUCAGUUUGAAAAAGCAGCUGACCCCGAGCUUCCUGGGCAUCUUCUGCUGGAACAAUAUCGGGUAUUUGACAAGAUGUGCCAAAUUGAUUUCCACACCAAAAUUUCAUUUCUUGUCAACCAAGGGAGGGAUCAUUUAUUUAAUUCACAUUUCCUUUUUGUUAAGAGGUCCUAUAUAAUGUGUCAUUUUUAUGGUUAAGUAGAUUAUGAAUUUUGUGAUUCACUUGGAAUAACUGAAACUGUACUAAAUAUAGGCCCAACUAGUAUCUGCAGUUCGUACUACCUUGGACACAUCUUCUAGUCCUAGCUUACUGGAGGCAGGUUUGCACUUGGCUACCAAGGAAAAUAUUGGUAGAAAGUGGCUGAAGAAGGCAGAAAGAAAACGAAUUCUAUAAUGCUUGCUGACAAGAAUGCCCCAAAUAAAGAAGUUUGGAGACUUGUGGUAUUUAUGUUCAUCUUGGAUGGCCAAGAUACGGUAGUGUCAUGACAAACAAGGGCAUCUGCUGUACCAGUUGUACUUGAAUCUGAAGGUUAUGUUUUGUUGUCAGUUCUGAAUUGUUUGUAUUGACUAAGUCAAUGUUUUUGUUGUUAAGUGAGAAAAUAUUGUCACUUCUAAUUGAUUGAAAAAGUCUAUUUAAAUGCAUACUACAUAAUUGGGCUUAAGGCCUUAAUGCCCAAUAUCACAAGUAUUACUAAUAUACUCUAAUAGCAAUAGUUCUAACAGUUUUUU